CAGCUUUCUGUUUUCUACCAUUUUUAGCCAAGGUUUGUUUAUUCCAGUAGCAUGUGUAUUUCUUAGGGACGGACGACCAGACUGAACAUUUAAUCAGGUGGCGGCUCAGCCAUGACCACCUGUUCACCGGGCGCAGAAAUACGGCCAGGAAGGCAUUUGAGUAAGUCAAGCCAUUCAUAUGUUUCAUGAUUCUUCAUACAAUAUGUGUGUCUAAUUGUUACCUCACAAUACACUGUGUUUGGCCUUCAGGAGGUUCUUGCAGGACAGCCCCAGCCUCCUGCCGCACAUCACGGCUGAGAGUGCCAAAAAAAAAUGGGACAACCUGAAAGACAAAUAUCGA